CGUCGGUUCCAAAUUUUACUUGUAGCUCCACCACAAGAUUAGUUUUACCUCGAAUUUUCCUUAAAUUCCUUUUUCCCGAUCAUGUCCCCACAUACUCAUGCCAUAAUAACACGCCCUUUGCAGAUAUUCCUCCAACCAACACUAUCAGGGAGCCGUAGCUGCACUCAGCGGCUUGAUGAGUGUAAGAGCAUUUCUCCUCGCUCAAGUUCCACGCUGUUUGGGUGGCUGUCAAAACGUAUGACAGUUUGAGCGAACGGACCAAAACAUAACUGGGUCAUUAUUGUUUCACACACAGAUGGAGCACGUAAAAGUAGGGUGUCUGAUCAUAUUACCGGCACAAAGUAACAAACAAUAUGAUUUUAUGUUGUUUGUUUGAGCUGUAUGUUUAAUGUUGGUCGUUUUUCUUAAAAGGCAUGGAGCUUCGGUUCUGUGGUCUCUUUCCGAUCGUGUUCGUUGAACAGAAUAGAAGUGCGCGCGUGUGUCAAUUGUAAAUUGUUAAAAUGGUAAAAUGAAUACCUAUUGUAUGGUGAAGUUUUUAUUAUCCAGUUUUGUUUCUUUUGUCUUAGGCUAAAUCAAUUAGUACGAUUAGUUUGGUUAGUUAUGUGAGUAAAAUGUGAUUAGUCAGCAAAAUCGAUGUGUUAUUGCUUAAAUGUUAUACAAAGAAGAACGUACACCAAAACAGUUAAAACUGUGACAAACAACCAACCAGAAAAAGGUAAUUCUAUUGUACAAAAAAAUGUGUAAACUUGUAAGAGGCAUAGUGAAGUGACGUCACGGGUACUAAUUUGUGUGGUUAGGUCCAGAAAGUGGGCCUUUUUCUGUGUAUUUUUCACCUAAUCGUCAGGAGUGCCUCCGGAGAUACAUUUCCCGGACAAGCGCGUAGUGCAGUGAUCGGAAGGACUGGGCAGAAGUCCGGCGGCGAGGAGUUCACCGGCUAUCGCUAGUUGCCGACCUCGCUGGAAGCAUCCGCCAUCUCGAUUCGCCGGUACUGUCGGCAUUUUCGGCCAUCGUCAUCCGCCGGCCCCGUCGCGAUCGUCGGUCAUUGUCAACGGCCGCCAUCGCCAAGAACCAACACCAAGCCCCAUAUCUACGACAGCUAGUGGUCUACCUAUCAUGGCCGCCAGCUAAACGAAGGCCUGCUCCACAGCCACACA